GCCCCUAUCGUCUAGUGGUUCAGGACAUCUCUCUUUCAAG
rnacentral:tRNA from 2 species